UAUACGUCUAAAAUACAUAAAAUUAAAAUGGAAAAGCAAUAAAUAAAAUUUUAAACGAAGUUCUUUUAAAAACUAGAAAAACUUCUAUUAGCCUUAUUGUACCGAAACUUUGAGGCAAUGCUUAAUGUUCAAACUUCAAUAUUCUUAUUCAAUUAAAAAUAGUAAUAAAAAUAAAAGAAAAUGAAAAAAAAUAAUCUCACUAAAUUUAACUCUUGAAAAUUAUUGUAAACCCCUGAUUCUUUUCACUCUCAAAAUGCUGUCUUAAAAACUGCUGCUUACGUCAUGCGCAAAUUUGCACUAAUAUUACGGCUACUGAUCAUUUACAAUCUUGGAGUUUACUUGCUUGAUUUAAGUUUAAAAUUGAAGUUUCUUAAUGAUCUGUUUUAUUCUUCCAAGUUUAAGAUGUUUCCCUUUAGUUGAUAUAAAAAAGAAAGGAGAAUAUCUGACGAGGAAGUAAUUUAUUUCAAUGAGGAUUGUUUCGCUAAUUCCUUCAUGUUAAAUAUGUUGUAUAUUCACUGGUGGUUAUUAUACCUAUAAUAUCAUUUGUUUAUGUAUUGACGAAAUAGUUGAUUUAAUUAUGGUGUCUCUGUUUUGUAUUAUUCACUAAUGGUUAUUAUACAGAUAAUAUAUUUAGAUAACAAAAUACCUAAUAUAAUUAUGGCAUAUCUGAUUUGUACUAAUACACUUGUCAUAUACUAAUUGUUAUGAAAAUCAUAAUAUUUAUUUGUUGUGUGUUAAAAAAAAUAUGCUUGGAGCUUCUACAUUCAUUAAACGAUUUCUUUAAAAAAAU